AACGAACGCUGGCGGCAUGCCUAACGCAUGCAAGUCGAACGAGACCUUCGGGUCUAGUGGCGCACGGGUGCGUAACGCGUGGGAACCUGCCCUUAGGUUCGGAAUAACUCCCCGAAAGGGGUGCUAAUACCGGAUAAUGUCUUCGGACCAAAGAUUUAUCGCCUUUGGAUGGGCCCGCGUUGGAUUAGCUAGUUGGUAGGGUAAAAGCCUACCAAGGCGACGAUCCAUAGCUGGUCUGAGAGGAUGAUCAGCCACACUGGGACUGAGACACGGCCCAGACUCCUACGGGAAGCAGCAGUGGGGAAUAUUGGACAAUGGGCGAAAGCCUGAUCCAGCAAUGCCGCGUGAGUGAUGAAGGCCUUAGGGUUGUAAAGCUCUUUUACCCGGGAUGAUAAUGACAGUACCGGGAGAAUAAGCUCCGGCUAACUCCGUG
rnacentral:rRNA from 1 species